rnacentral:rRNA from 1 species
UACGUAGGCAGCAAGCGUUGUUCGGAGUUACUGGGCGUAAAGAGUGCGUAGGCGGUCCUGUAAGUUUGGUGUGAAAUCUCCCGGCUCAACUGGGAGGGUGCGCCGAAGACUGCAGGGCUUGAGUAUGGGAGAGGAAAGCGGAAUACCUGGUGUAGAGGUGAAAUUCGUAGAUAUCAGGUGGAACACCAGUGGCGAAGGCGGCUUUCUGGACGGUAACUGACGCUGAGACGCGAAAGCGUGGGGAGCAAACAGG